GAUGAACGCUGGCGGCGUGCCUUACACAUGCAAGUCGAACGGCAGCGCGAGAAAGCUUGCUUUCUUGGCGGCGAGUGGCGAACGGGUGAGUAAUGUAUCGGAACGUGCCCAGUAGCGGGGGAUAACUGGCCGAAAGGUCAGCUAAUACCGCAUACGCCCUACGGGGAAAGGGGGGGAGUCGCAAGACCUCUCACUAUUGGAGCGGCCGAUAUCAGAUUAGCUAGUUGGUGGGGUAAAGGCCGUACCAAGGCAACGAUCUGUAGCUGGUUUGAGAGGACGACCAGCCACACUGGGACUGAGACACGGCCCAGACUCCUACGGGAGGCAGCAGUGGGGAAUUUUGGACAAUGGGGGGAACCCUGAUCCAGCCAUCCCGCGUGUGCGAUGAAGGCCUUCGGUUGUAAGCACUUUGGUCAGGAAGAAACGGACCUGGGAGUAAUACCUUGGCGUAAUGACGGUACCUGCAGAAUAAGACACCGGCUAACUACGUGCCACGCAGCCGCGGU
rnacentral:rRNA from 1 species